CAAUAGCGUAUAUUAAAGUUGUUGCGGUUAAAAAGCUCGUAGUUGGAUUUCUGUUGAAGACCGGCGGUCCACCUUUUGGGUGAGUAUCUGCUUGGGCUUCGGCAUCUUCUCGGAAUACGUUGCUGCGCUUGAUUGCGUGGUUCGGAGUCCGGGACUUUUACUUUGAGGAAAUUAGAGUGUUCACGGCAGGCAUACGCCUUGAAUAUAUUAGCAUGGAAUAAUAAUAUAGGAUCUUGGUUCUAUUUUGUUGGUUUCUAGAACUAAAGUAAUGAUUAAUAGGGAUAAUUGGGGGCAUUUGUAUUAACGCGUCAGAGGUGGAAUUCUUGGAUUGCGUUACGACAAACUACUGCGAAAGCAUUUGCCAAGGAUGUUUUCAUUGAUCAAGAACGAAAGUUAGGGGAUCGAAGACGAUUAGAUACCGU
rnacentral:rRNA from 1 species